UACGUAGGAGGCAAGCGUUGUCCGGAAUUACUGGGCGUAAAGCGCGUGUAGGUGGUGGGACAAGUCUGCUGUGAAAGUGCCUGGCUUAACCGGGCGAGGUCGGCGGAAACUGUCCGACUCGAGGACGGUAGAGGGGGGUGGAAUUCCCGGUGUAGUGGUGAAAUGCGUAGAGAUCGGGAGGAACACCUGUGGCGAAGGCGGCCCCCUGGGCCGGCCCUGACACUGAGACGCGAAGGCGUGGGGAGCAAACAGG
rnacentral:rRNA from 1 species